rnacentral:lncRNA from 1 species
UUUAACUCAUGCUUAAGUCUGACGACAACUGUGAUAGCCUAUCACAGGGCUGAUGACUUAUCACCGAUAUCGUCAGCCACACUUCUCUUCAGAUUCCUCCAGAUUUUAACUUUUUUGCUUCAAUUCUUGUUGGUUCUCUAUCCCAUCAGCUUAAACUGUAAAAUCAGACAUAAACAAAUCAAAAAUGACAAAAAUUACUUAAGAUUUCACAAUUAUUCUUGGUUAAAGGUCUUAAAUGUGUUAGCAAUUGCUCACAUAUCAACACCCUCAACUUAAAACAAUUAUUUGUCCUCAAGCAACUCAACCCAACUAAGAGAAUAUAUAGCACAUUCAGCAGCCAAUUUUCUCUUUUAAGCUUAAACAUAGUUAUCACCUCCAAGGUCAAUCCAAUUAAAACCAACUAUGUAUGUCAUUGAAGAACAAUAAUGUAAAACAAAGGACUCAAGCGAUGGCAUCAAUCUUAGCCACAACAACCAUUCAUAUACUAAUGUUGCACUAUCUAAACAAGAAAGUACCGAAGAACAAUACUGUUAUUCACUCACAAUAAAGAACUCCCUCUCCUCACAUAUGAUAAACCAAAAAUCUAAACGUGGGGAUCAUCAAAAGACUCUCACUCUUAAAACAAAACUCCAAUCAGUGUAUGCCAAGUACCAUAGGCUUGCCCUUCUUUUCAUUUCCAAGACCUUUAGAUAGGACAGCUAGGAUCAUAAUAGGACUUCUUUUAGGCUUAUAAUAUAGGCUGGGGGUGGUAUAAUAUUCAAGGACAUUUAGAGUGACUAUGCCUCCUUGACACUACACUACUCUCUUGGGGCUUACUUAUUAACCUCUUUUUUGUUCUCUUUUCUAUUGAUCGCACAUAUUCAAGUUGGGUGCCUCUCUCCCCUUUUUUUUGAAUAGCACCCAACUUUUAUUCCUUUUCCUUUGUUUUACCCUUCUUCAUAUUCCUAUUACACCAUGUACUCCUAUGAUAGCGACCCUCAACUUAGGUUGUUUGCCUAGGUCAAGGUGCACAGUGUCUAAGGAGGAACAGGGCCAAAACAGUUUUAUUAUGGUAUAAAUGGGAAGGUGAAAGGUGUCAUAAGAAAGAAAUAGGUUAAUUAGGCUCAAAAAAUGGAUCAAGGGACAUGAUGCACAUAAGGAAGUCUAGUUAGGCUAAAAGUGGGUUAAUUAACAAAACGGCCUAUGAUCCUUUCCUAACUCCUAUCGUAUGACCAUUACAAGACUAACUGGGUAAGUUCCAGAUUUAACAGACAACGGGAGCUGAGUAAGACCUUACACACACAUGGCACGCGAGUAUAUCAUAGACCACCACUUAUCUAGUUUAUGCAAUUGUUCAGCAAUGAUCAUCAAGCAUCUAGAACUAAUGCCACAACAAGAUUCACAAGUAAAUAUAAAUCACACAGUUUUUGCAAACAAAACAUUGGAGAGGUUUUUAAAAAUUAAUCAAAAAUAUGUCAACUGCUUUCUGUAUUUGUAUUUCUCCUAGUUACCACAAGAUAAGUUACAACAACAGACUACCCUACACCCUCAACUCAAAAUCAAAGCAAAACUAAACUAAGGGUUAGAGUAUACCUGGAAUGGAUUAAUCUCGGGGGUCACGGGUUGCCUCCCAUAUAGUGCCUGAUUUAGCGUCGUGGCACGACUCAGGUAUCUCGA